GGGGAAUUUUCCGCAAUGGGCGACCNNCUGACGGAGCAAUACCGCGUGAGGGAUGACGGCCUAUGGGUUGUAAACCUCUUUUUUCAGGGAGGAAUCAAUGACGUGUACCUGAAGAAUAAGCAUCGGCUAACUCCGUGCCAGCAGCCGCGGUAAGACGGAGGAUGCAAGUGUUAUCCGGAAUCACUGGGCGUAAAGCGUCUGUAGGUGGUCCAAUAAGUCAACUGUUAAAUCUUGAGGCUCAACCUCAAAAUCGCAGUCGAAACUAUUAGACUCGAGUAUAGUAGGGGUAAAGGGAAUUUCCAGUGGAGCGGUGAAAUGCGUAGAGAUUGGAAAGAACACCGAUGGCGAAGGCACUUUACUGGGCUAUUACUAACACUGAGAGACGAAAGCUAGGGUAGCAAAUGGGAUUAGAUACCCCAGUAGUC
rnacentral:rRNA from 1 species